rnacentral:rRNA from 1 species
CCUACGGGUGGCUGCAGUGGGGAAUAUUGCACAAUGGGGGGAACCCUGAUGCAGCGACGCCGCGUGAGUGAAGAAGUAUUUCGGUAUGUAAAGCUCUAUCAGCAGGGAAGAAAAUGACGGUCACUGACUAAGAAGACCCGGCUAACUACGUGCCAGCAGCCGCGGUAAUACGUAGGGGGCAAGCGUUGUCCGGAUUUACUGGGUGUAAAGGGAGCGGAGACGGCAGAGGAAAUCUGAAGGGAAAGACCGGGGCCCAACUGCGGGAAUGAUUUGGAAAAUGCCCGGCUAGAGUGCUGGAGAGGUAAGCGGAAUUCCUAGUGUAGCGGUGAAAUGCGUAGAUAUUAGGAGGAACACCAGUGGCGAAGGCGGCUUACUGGACAGUAACUGACGUUGAGGCUCGAAAGCGUGGGGAGCAAACAGGAUUAGAUACCCGUGUAGUC